CUCCUGACCUCGUGAUCCGCCCACCUCGGCCUCCCAAAGUGCUGGGAUUACAAGCGUGAGCCACCGCACCCGGCCCAGCAUCACCCUUUAACCACAGACUGGACCUUCUCAUCAGCCUUUUCUCCCUCCCCAACCCCAAAUUGGGUGCUGUUCUUACAAUUUCUCCAUUUCCUGAAAGGAGACAAAAAAGUAGAGGGUUUUUUUGGAGGGACAGGGCUGGUCACAGAUAGGGCAGUGAAGAUAUCCUCAAAUUAUCUGCCAAGUGACAGUCCUGGGGCUGGCUCUUCUGGUGUCCCCAGCUGCCCCAGGGCUCUGGGGCCCAGUAUUUGCUCCCUGGGGCUGGUACCAACCAGGGUGUGGACUUGGGGUUGCCUGUGCUGGCAGUGAGAGGAGAGUCUUGUGACCCUCAUCAGCCUAGUCUGGCAGAGGGAGAGGACAAGUGACUGCUCAGGUCUCCUUUCAGCAACAGGACAGUCCCUCUCUCUUGGCUCUUGGAGGAACCUUCCCUUCAUUGGUUUCUGGAUCUCUGGUCUUUAAAUCCUCAAGGCAAUGAACAGGCAUCUGAGGCCACACCAGGAACUGCAGCAGCGGGUGGAAGAAGGAAGGGUUUGUAGGGGCAGUAAGAGGGUAACAAUUCCAAUGACCAAAGGCCAAAGCUGGCUGGGUUGGGGGCAGGUGACUUCCUGAAGGACAAAGCUGGCUGGGUUGGGGGCAGGUGACUUCCUGAAGGACAAGUGGAAAGGUGGCUGCCAAGACAGCCCCUCCCUAAAGCUCUCAGGCCAGACGUGAUUCGAAUUCAGAAGCGUUCCAACCUGGAAAGGUAUCACAGUGUGUAUUCCAUGUAUCAUGUGAUGCCCUCUGCAGGGUCUGGGGCCACCACACAUGAUCAAAUAAAUGCAUUCGUAUUUCUGCAAUGCAGUGUAUGUCUAGCCACAGUAAGUGGGACAAAAGCUGUAAGCCUCACCUUAGUUCAGAUUAAGCAUUGGCGCUGGGUGAAGAUAUUUGGUUUCCAGAUUCUCUUUUUUUUUUUUUUUAGGAUUGCAGAUAAGGGAUGGGAGCCUGCUUUCCAAGUCCAGCUCUCCUGCCUUAAGGUUGGGCUGAGGAAGCAUUUUUUUCUUCCAACGUGGAAGGAGCAGCAUACAGAUAGGUCCACAGCUCCCUCUUGUGCCUAACUAUAUAAGUAGCAGGUCCUGAUUUUUAUUUAAUAAUUAUUAGUGUUACCAAAAUGAUGCUCUGUCGCUUUAAAAGAAAUCAAACAAAAAGAUUGCUUAAAAAAGGAGAGUCUCCUACACCCUCUACAUAGCCCCACCCUUCCCCCAUCAGUCAGUCCAUUGGGGUUCCUGUGCAUUUGCACACAUACAUACAGGUAAGCAGUGUAAAACUGGUAGGUUUUGUGGAUUAUUUUUUUUUAAAUAACACAAAUGGGGUUAUGCUAGACAUUACUGUUACCCACUCCUCCUCCUGCUAUUUUCCCUGGAGCUCUUCUAGGUCCCAACCCACAGAGCCCCAGGUUCCUAUAACAGGGAUACAGAGUCCUCCAGAGAAAGCAGGGUGCAAAUCUCUUUGUAAGGACCUCUUUGAACCCCCAGGAGAGGAGCUCUGAAUUUGAAGAAAGGAUUUAAGGCCCCUUCAGAAACAGGCUGCUUCAUUUCAUGAGUGGUUAUCCCCUCUCCCAAAAUCUCCCUUCCUGGGGCCCUGGAGCCAUUUUUUAGGAGAGAGGUUUCUAAGAUCACUUCCAAGGAAAGUUUCCUCCAUCAUUUAAAUACAGUUCAGAAAUGCUGGGUGAGACCAAGUCAAAAAGCAUGGCUCCAGCUAUAACCUGCAGACAAGCAGGGGAAUGACUGAAGGAGAAAAGAUGUCCUCCAGUAGCUGCUGGCAGAGGGGUGGGUGCUGGGGCAGGGCCAGGCUGUCUCGCUGUUCCCUGGGUGAUGGGGGUGGUUUUGAUGGUCUAGGAAAGGGCUUCUAGUCUUCUUUUACCAUUGUCUGGUGCACUGCCCCCAGUGUUCCUGCCCGAAAGGGGUGUACUUAUGUCCUUCCCAGGUCCCCUUUACUGACUCCCGCAUCCACCCCGACCUGCUGGGUUGGCUGCCGUGUUGAGCUACCCUCAGAUGACUGGAGAUGCCUGCAAGGCUAUGCCUGUUCUCCUCUCACGUCCAAGUGUUGCCAGAUAAAAUACGGUUUGCCCAGUUAAAUGUUAAUUUCAGAUAAACAACAAAUACAUUUUUAGUAUAAAGAUGUCCCACUCAUUAUUUAUCUGAAACUCAAAUUUAACUGGGCAUUCUGUAUUUUUGCUUGUUUUUGCAGAGGAAAAAAAAAAAGAAAAAACAGAGUGAUGUGGCUCACAGCUCCCUCUUGUGCCUAACUAUGAAGAAGAAAGUAGGAACCACAGAACUGGAGAGCAUGGCCAAGGUCAAGGACUGAAGCUGCUGGAAACAACACAGUGGGAUUUUGAGAAAAGAAUUGAGGAAGGAGAUCCCCGCUGACUCAACUGUCCUGUGCAAGGCAACCCUUUGCCC